ACUCUGUGAUAAUUUUAACGUCCAAAAACUAAAACAAAACCAUCUGCUUUUGACCUGCUGCCUGGGUUUAAUCCUGACGAGAGCUUGAUGCUGGUGAAGGAGCUGAGAAUGUCAGGCUGCUGUUGGCAGUACACAAAUACAGUAAGUUAUCCCUUAGGUGGAUUAGAGAAAACACAAAAGCUUCAGGUAUACCUGGAACACAGGAAACAAGGCAACAAGAGACUGGAGAUACAAGAGACACAAGAAGUUCACUAGAAAUCUAGAGCAGACUAGAGCUACCAUCAUAGGUAAUCAUAGCUUUUACUUGUAUAGUGCUCUACCAAGUGCAAAGGAUCCAAAGUGCUUCACACUACACCCUUUCACAUACUUAUUCACGCAGUGAUGGUGGGAAGCUACUGGAUAGUAGCACACAGUCAGGGGCACCAGUGCUACCAUGCACUGGUCCUUUGACCACCACUAGCAGGCAAGGUGAGUGAAGUGUCUUUUCCAAGGACACAACAACCAACCAAUUGAGGGCCGAACUUAAAGUCCCUGUGUGGUGGUUCAGGUGGCUCCUGCCAUCAAAAAUGACCCCUUCUCUGGUGACUGUGAAGGACAAUUCCCACACUGUUUAUUUGUGUUUUAGUACAAAGCCUCCAUAGAUUGAAAUUAAUUAUUUAAUUCAACCUUGUGUAAUGCAUGUUUUAUUUUAAGAUUUGUGAGUUGUUUGCUCCUUGCUAUAGAAAGCCACAAAACCAAAUGUUUUGUGACCAUAUUGGUUGGAUGGAUGAGAUCAGAUAUCUAAGUAAAAAUAGAAAGGUGGUGGUGAUAAUUGUUUUUGUCAUGUUGGUUUUACUUCCUCUUCAGUGCCUCCGUGUAUAUAUGAGUUACUUAUAGAGAAUGAUGCCUUUUCUGCAGACCUCAUGAACAUGCACAGUAAGUCAUUUUGACCUGCUCUAUGUAAGGCAUACUAGGUUAAAAAAUAUUUUGUUUACUGAUUUUGGUUUUCUGUGAUGGAAUAUUAGAUAAAUAAGUCAUCACCUAACAGCGACAAGCUGUAAGUCAGGGAAGUAUUUGGCUGAGUAGCACUUUGGCAUUAAUAGGCUAUAUCUAUUUUGUUACAUAUGACUGCAAUGUUUCCUUUUUGAUUGCUAUAGAAAUUUUUACUGUUUUCCCACUGAUAUGCUGUGUAGUCCACCAGUUUCAACAGGGAUGAGUGAAUGAGGCCAAUUUAUAUUAAUAACUGUCUCUCAUUAUCUGAUCCAUUGAAAUAUAAAGCUUCGGGUCUUCCCAUUUAUAAGUGAGGGACAUGGUAUUGAGAAAAAAAAAUGCUUGGAAAAGGUUGUUUAUUAUGCUCCCUUUAUAUUCUUACAAGCAUGUUGACUGGAUUCCUGCUUUAUUUUUUCAGGACUCAAUUCUCAAGAUAAUUGUAGAUGUAAUUAUCUUAAAGAUUGUAGAUGCUCAAGAUAAAGAAUACAUCAGUCAUAUUUUAUAUUAACCUAUUGAAGAAAGGUUGUAAAACAAACAUGAACAAUGUCUUAUCUGUAAUUUCUAGUCUAGAAAAAUGGCUGGACUUCUGAUUUUUCUUCUCGUUGGUUGUUUCCUGCAUGGUGAGUCAUAACCAAAAUUUGUUUGUGAUUAGUAUUAUUUAAUACCACAAAUGCGUUCAAAAACAUACACUGUAUUUGUGAAGUAAAAAGAACUGUUAAAUAUUCUCGAAACUUGUGCCACUCUUAAUGUGACAUCUACAAUGUCUAAUAUAGGUCAAAAGGACAAAUAAACCAAUUGUUAUGGUUUAUCUUAUUGUGAGUUCUUGACACUUUCCUCUCUAACCGGUAUGUUCUCAGUCAGUUCAUGAACUAAAGGGCGUGGUGAUUUGUAUCUGAAAAAACUGCAGGCAUCCGUUCAAAGAUGUGGCGUCCUUUUAUUGUCGCUCAACUUACAAUUCUUGAUGCAACAAAACAAAAUGAUCAGCAAAUAUCACACUUAUAACUCCUUUUUGAUAACACAGUUGCUUAACUAUUGAACUACUGCAAGCUACUACAAAAAACACCGGGUCUGCCACAAAGUUCCAACACAUUAAGGCUCUGAUAGGUUGUCGUUGAUCAUGAUUGACAGGCAGACCAGCCAAUCACAGUCCAGACAAAUCUACAAGGCGAAGUCCAGUGAACUUGUGGUAUUUUCCACAGUUCACCUCAACAAGAUUCAUUUUCCAUGUGUAAAUCUGGCACCGCUCAGCCCAGCUGUUCUCAGAUGAAGGACAUGGCAUUGAGAAGUUGCAGGUUCCCAGAUUGCACAUUAUUUGUUUCUCUUGUGCUGUCCUUUCUGCAUCAUUCAUUCAGCAAAUAAAUUAGCUUUAAGUCAUGUAUACCAGGUAUACAACCAAAAUGAUAUACACAUCAUCUUGGUUGUAACAGAGGAUACACCAGGAAAAUUCAAUAAACUCAACAAAAUUGAGUGGAUGCUGAUGAUCCAUUCCUGUGGUAGAGUGACAUUUUUACAUACAAACAUGUAACACAGUGUUGUAUGCCUCCCUAAGAAUUAUAUUGCAGGUCAGCAGGGCUGUUGUAAGUCAUUAUGGUAACCUACACACAAAUGCUUUGUGGUGGCGCACCGCUGCUAUGACCACCGAAGCUAUAUACUCAUCUUUUUUCCUUUUUUUUCUUUUUCAGGUACCAAGUGUAACAAGUUCGAGAUUUCUUUACCAUAUUAUGUACAAGUUUUCAAAGGAUCCUGCAUGACUAUCCCCUGCUCCUUUGACAUCCAGAAUGAAUUUGAAGGCCUUUUGAUUAGCACAUGUAAAGCAGAGUGGGUCAUUUACAAUCAAAACACACAACUAGUAAACCAUACAACGGAAAACCUACCAAAGAAAGACUGCACUACCACCUUCAACAAUAUGCAGCCUGGUCAUAGCAAAACCUAUUAUUUCAGACUGGAAUGUCCCAGUAGGCUCAUAUGGACCUAUACAAAUGAUUCUGUGAAAAUUAAUGUCACAGAUAAUCCUCCCUCACCAACUCUGACUCCAUCCACUCUGGAGGUGAAAGAGGGAACCUCUGUGAGACUGACAUGUUCUGCUCCAGCUCCUUGCCCGUCUGAUCCUCCAGCUUUGACAUGGUCUCCCAAACUGGGAGAGAGUCAGGUGAAACUGCAAGAGAAUCAGGACAAAACUCAGUUUCAGACCUCGGUUUUGACCUUCAUUGCCUCACAUAGCCAUGAUGGUGAGAAAAUCUCCUGCACAGCUGUCUACAAUAAACAAGAUGGAAACCCCAGUGUAUCUGUUACCACAGAUUUAACAGCAAGGAUUUUGUUUCCUCCAGUGAUCCUGGACUCAUCUAUUUGCACCAGAGCUGCAAAUCACGUCAGAUGUUCCUGUGAAACUGUUGGAAGCAGUCUCAUGUUACAAUGGGUUGUGGAUGGACAGCAGGUUAUCCAUUCUAACAUGAUUUCUAUCUCCACUGAGACUCUGAAUAGUACACAUCUGAAGAGUGUCAUCAUUGUCAAUGAACCACAGGACAGAAAUCUGUCAUCAUUGCUCUGCUUUAGCUUCAACUCUGUAGGAUCAGCCAGGAAACAGUUUUGUACUGAAUGCAGCAUAACAGGUAAUCACAGUGUGUCUAUUAUGUCUGUACAGUGUGUUUGUUUAAAUAAAUGUAGAUAUAGGGUACUUCUGAGUAUUUACCUUACAGUAUUUUGCAACACAACAGUGAGAAAAGGUUCUAAUUUUGAAAUUAAAUGUGAUAUAACAUAUAAUUUAUUCAGCAUAAAUUUACUGAAUUUGAAGACUGGUGGAAGAUUUAGAUUGUAAUACUGGAUAUGGUCAAUGAAACUAAACUUAGCUCCAUAUUUAAAAUUAGUAUCAGACAGCUGGUGUAUAAUCUCAUGAUAUGAUUUACUUUCAUAGCUGCCCCUUGCUCAAUGCAUAUACAUGUGAAGUGCCCCACUUAAUAUAAUUGUGUAUGACAUGUCUAAAACAGUUUAUUGCUCAAAGUAAUUUGGUAUGCAUUGUGCAUUUAUUGUUGUAUUGUGUUCCUCCUCAUUAAUAGAAACAUGUUACUCGACAUUACAAACCCAACAUUGCUUCUGUCUAUACAUAUCCAUGAUUAUUAGUGUAAGAACUACCUUUGUUCAGCAUUUUUUCAUCAUUCCCUAUGACUUCUUUGACAAAGGUGUGAAAAUAUAUUUCUCUGGAGAAAGUGUAUUUAAUAAGCUCUGUCAGAGUUAUAUCUUGAUCUUUAUUUUUCAAAUUUGUAUUUCAGAUAAAAACCUGAUGUUUGCGUUCAUUGCUACUACUGUCGUCUUAAUAACUCUAGUCUGUGUCUUGCUGUUUGCUAUCAGGUAAGUGAGUAGUUCAGAGGAAGCCUGUUCAGUUUCCCCUUUGUGUUUUACGACUUUUUUAUGAUUAUAUAUAGGUGUGCAGCAAAACAUUAAAAUUGACAACAUCUUUCAAUAUCUUAUUUCAGGUAUCUGAAGAUUCAGCAAAACAGUCUAAAUAAUAGUGCAAAGAAGAGGAAAAAGAUACCACACACAGAAGAAGAUCCCAUCUAUGUCAACACAAGGAGGCCGAGACAGGCAGAAUAAGCUAGACAAUUAUAACCUGCUUUUUUAUUGCUGUGGAAAAAAAAUUCAGCUCUGAUGUUUCGCUGAAUUUAAUCAAGCAAAAU